CGGAUGAUGGAAGGCCUCAGUUUGGGGCCAAGAAAAGGCGUGGACGAGGCCAUUUCUACAAGGUCUUUCUCAAUCAGUUGAAAUGUUUGGUUACCAAAUGUCUCCCUGAAAUAUAUAAUCAUGAUUUCAUUCUGAUUUGUACAUCAUCCUGGAUGGUCUGCCCAAAAGAUGCUCAUAGCUUUUCCGUUAGCCUGCAUUGCAGCUCAUUUUGUUUAUUUAAAGAACAACCAUGUGGCACGGUGGUUCUACUUCUCAUAAAUUGACAGAAAGGUUCUAGCAUGUUUUCAUUUGCAAGUAAAACUCGACCUUCUUUUAGUUGAGUGAAUAUCUUUCAGAUAUGGAACCUUUUACAGUACAUUUCUUUCCUUCUAAAUGUGAAUUCAUGUACAUCGACAAUGAUUUCACAUUUGCUGUAGCACUACGUAAUGGUGUACUUCUUUUAGAAAUUCUGCUCCUUUUAUAAAUUCUACAUAUGGUUUCUCAUGUUUCAGCAGUACUUGAUUCCCUUUUCAAAUUGUUGUUGCCAUGUGGUUGUCCUUCCCGUGAGUUCAUGUGAAACUUGGAUUUUAAGAUUAUGGCUUAAUAUGUUGUCUCAUGCUGUUGAUUUCACUUGUGUAGAAUCUAUUGGCUAAUCUUGACGAGUUUUGCUCUGCUGACCGCCCAUGCUGCUGCUCUUUGUGGUAAGAGUCCUUGAGUGCUGAAGUGCAUAUCUCGACUUGACUGUGCUUACAAUUAUGGGUGUAACAUCCCAAAAUUCUAAAUUUUGGAAUGCUAUAAUAAAUAGAUAGAUUUGACUGAUUGUUUGAUUGAUUGUCUGAAAGCGAGUGAAUUCGAAACUUUUGAAAGUUAAAUGAGAGGGAAUAAAAGGACUUUCCGAAACUUUCAUAUUUGCUUUAUGAUCUCCAUGAAUUCAAAUUCUUUUCAAACACAAAACCCCGGAGAGAAGAUGACAUGACUUCUUCCAUUUAUUUAAAUGACAAGGGGUGUUGAAAAUAUUUGAUUUUCAUUUGAAAAUAUUUCCGAUUCUGGAACUUUAUGCAACUCAAUGAUUUUCAUGAGAGGAGAUAAAAUGACUUCUUCAAAUUAUAUGAAAUAUGAGUUGGGAGUUUCAAAGAAUUAAAUUCAAAGUUCUUUUGAAUUUAUUUUCAAUUUGGAGUUAUUUGAGUUUUAUUCAAAUUAUUUUUCUCCAAAAAUAAAAUACAUGGAAAUUAGGGUAACAUGAUUCCCUACAAUAGAAAAUUGGAGAAAAAUUUAUUUGAAAUCAUUUUUGUAUUUUUAAAAUGUUUUUUGUUGGAUUCUAUUAGAACAGUAGCACUCUUUGAAUUAUCUGAUUUUGUGUGUGUUUUAUUUAAUGCUAGAAAAAAGUUCAUGUUGUAGAUUUUCUUUUUCUGAAAUUUUUGAUAUAUUAUAUGCCUAUAUAAUAUUUUUAUUUAUUUUGUUUUUAGUAUUUUAGUUCUCUAAAAAAAAUGUUAAAAAAAACUACUCCCCGACUGGACCGGCCCAGCCUAGUCCAGCGCCAGCCCAGCUCAGCAGCGGCCUCUGCGCGCCCGAACCGCCUUCACCUCGCCCGCCCGCUCUCUCCUCCGCGCGCACGCUGCCACGCCCAGCCACUGACAGGUGGGACCCACCUGUCGGGUUCGUCACCGACAUCCCGCCGGAGUCCAGCACGCGCACGAUUCGCCGGUUGACGCCGUGCUCAACCCGGGCGCCUCCCCCAUCUUCUCCCCUCGCCCAAGGUGACCCCCUUUAUAAGCCGAGGCCCUGGCCUCGUUUUGCCUCAAACCGCAGCUCUCCACGCCCCGCGCGAACUCGCCGGAGUUCGCGAGAUCCGCCGCCAAGCCCGCGCCGUUCCGACUCCGAGGCCGAGCGCCCACACCGCCACCGCCUUCCCCUCGUCAAGCCGCGCCUCUCCAUCUUCUCCACCGGCGCCGCCGAGCCCCGGAGCCGCCGUCCCGUUCGAGCCGCCGCCGCCGCCGCUUUCUUCUCUGACACCGACGACGUGACCGCCGCGGUAAAGCCCCCUGUCACCUCAACCGUCCGAUCUUAGAGCUACGGUUAGGAUUAGAUAUGUCUGUUUUUUUUUGAACCGGUAUGCGCUAAAUAGCGAACAUCCACCGUUUUAGCCUCGCAGCAAACAGAUUUCGGCCAGUAGAUUUCUGACACGUAUCCAGGGACCUAGUUGCAAUUUCUUUCUCUGCAGUUUAGUCCCUGAUUUUCAAAACACCACAUCUUUUUACCCGUUUAUCCAAAUCCAACGAAACCAACGCCCACGUCUUCGUUAUGAUCUCCUCUAUCCAGUAAUCAAACUCAAACAAGUUUUUGUAAAAUUUAAAAUUUGAAUUUGAUCAGAUUUGAAUUCAAACUUCGUUUGAUCAUAACUUGAGUUUCGUAGCUCCGUUUGAGUUGAUUCUUUUUGCAAAUCGAAGCUCUUGACCUAAACAUUCUAAUAAGGCCAAAUUCACAUAAUUUUGGUACUGUUAGAAAUUGUUUUAUGUUGCAAGAGUUAUUUGCUUGGUUUUGAUGUUUUCCGAAUCGUCUUCUUCGUUCUUUCUGAUCUUUUGAGUGAUUGCUUAUGUGUGGUUACUAUUGCUUGCUUACGAUAGAUUGACCGGAGUGUGACGAGUAGAUCUAUAAAGAUUUGAGUGCGAAUCAUCUUCAUCAACAUUGCAGGCAAGUUCACACUUUGAUCAUACCUUUUCUACUACCCAGUUUAUAGAUCAAUCCUCACACAUUGCAUGAUUAGAAUCUAAUUAAAUUGUGGGAUGGGAAGUAGAUGAGGUAGUACCUAUUACCUGUAUUAUUGUGAAACCUUUGGGAGUUACUUCUACGUUUGCUUAUUAUGCCAUGCUAUGCUAGUAGACGUGGAUUGGGUGAGUGAUAUCCAUGACAGAUGUGAGUAUUGUUAAUUAAUGGUUUAUCUAAGGUGGCAACUUAAACACACAUCUGGGUGGAUUGAGGCACCUGAUGUCUAUCAGGACUUGCCUGUUUUUUUCGGACCGCCACCCAGGCUCAAAGGGAUCAUAAGAUAAUUCAUGCUAGAAACUUCCGUGUGCAGCCACAUGCUACUAUGGGCUCUGGCAUAGUUGACUAAGUUGUGCGAACUCUUACGGGGUGGACUAGCAGAUGUAGGGGUUAUAGGUGGUACGGUAUACCCCACAUGUAAGGUGCUAGCGCUUCUGAAAGACUAUGUCUCGGUCAUCCGUUUCUCAAACACCAUGUAGUGCGACAAAACAAACGGAGGCGAUCGAGUCAUGUGGGGAAAAGUGCGCAAACCUCUGCAGAGUGUACAAACUAAUCAUGAUUAGACGUGUCCCCGGUUAUGGACAUCUUGAGUAUCUAGUUCUUGGAUUAUCCUGUUGAUCUCAUCACGUUACUUUAAAUGAAUAUUGUUGGGUUUAAUGAUGUUACUUAAUUGGGAUUGAGAAUGCUGUCAACCAUUCUCGAUGUUCAACAACCACCAUGAUAGUUAAAUAAAUUUAUUCCUUUGCAAUAGGGAAAAAUUGGCUUUACGCAAAACCCUUAUAACCCUAGAGCUUUUCCACCAGCCAAAUAUGCAUGUAGUGAUAGCCUUUAUUCAUCAUUCUCUAUGGUGUGAAUUUGCCAGUACAUUCAAUGUACUGACCCUCUGUGGCUGCAACGUCUCAUGUUCCAGGAUUAUCUUACGACGAGUAAGUGAUACGUUAGGGUUACGAUUUCUACACUCAACUUUGCCAUUGGUGUUGAUGGGAAUCCACAACCUUGUUGCUUCCGCUAUUAUGGAUUGAGGUAAUAGUACUUACGCUACUUUAUACAUGUGAUUUACCUCUGUUAUAAAUCCUUCGAGUACUGUGUGUGUCAGCAUACCGAUCCAGGGAUGACACUUAAGCAUAGAGACUUGAUGCAUUCGGGUCGGGUCGCUACAAGAUGGUAUCAGAGCACAUGUUGACUGUAGGACGUGACCCUAGAAACUGGCAAGCCCAUAGCAAAGAUUUUUAUCUACAACUUUCCCUUCCAAAAAGAUCUUUUACCUCUCUUCUCUUCUGAGCUUAUUCAAAAAUUCCGUUUAGUGAGACCAUACCCCUUUCCCAUUUUGACCAUUCGAAGAUUUGACUGAAGAGACCACUCCAAGAAGUACCAGAUAUCGGACAACUAAGACCACUAUGGAAUGAAGGAGAUUUUACCAUGGAUUAUAGUAAUGGAAACUACAGUGGUUGAAGACUCUGAAGACAAGUAGAAUUUGAAGGCUCUGAAGAAUUCCCAGAUUUGUAUGACCUAGGAAGGCUACCCUUAUGGAACUUGGCAGACUAUGGAAGUUGUCAAUACCUGAGAUCAAGGUGUAUCGGAGAAAGACUGAAACAAGGAGCAUGAGAACUCGAAGUUUCGUUAAAGAAAACCCUAAGGCAGGUAAUAUCGAUUAUGGAAGAUAGCUCAUAGCAAUGACCAGAGCAGAAACACGGUUAUCCGUGAUGUCAUCGCCCGCUGAUGCUAUUGUCACCAUGCUGAGUUAAGGAUGCAUGUCAUUAGAAUGGAUUUGAUGGAAGAAGGCUGAUGGAGCACCUAUUAGUAAGAUGAAGUUUUAACAUUAGCCGGUGUAUCACCAGGAUCUGGAGUAGUACAUCAAGAAGUUUAAAAUGGAGCUCCAGGAAGUCGUAUUAGACAAGGAAGUAUUUCAUGAGGAACUUAGGAUCCUGAAGAUGAGAGUAGCCAAGCUGGAGGAGCUACAACCUUGAGAUACCGGAGAAUUGUCAGGAACUGAAGGACAGUAUGACCAUGGUUCAUGUGAAGGAUGUUGAAACCAGAAGUUUGAAAUGCAACUCCGGAAUAUUAAAGGAUGUCACGAGAGAUUUCACGUCAACAGAGAUUGAUCUGGCAAAGGAACUUGAGAAAGACAAGCAUGAUCGGAAGAAGCCAUUGGAGGCAUGAACAAGGCUUGAAGAGUUUGGAGACGUUGAAGAUUUAUUGACCCUUAGAAGACCAAACCCCUGUUAUAUACCUACGUUAGAUGCGACGAUUGUGAGCUGCCAUUUGUUUGAUGUUUUUUUUCGAUAGCCACAACAAAAAUCUGCCUUUUCAAAACUUUUGUUUGUAUUGUGUGCAUCCCUCUCUAUCUCUCUUAUCUCACCUCAAACCCAUGGACCCAAUAGAGGAUGAAUGAAGAUGAGCUUGUAUUUUCUGGACCGAUGAGUCAAUUGGAGAUAGAACGAUUGAUACAGAACAUGGAGGAUCAUAUGGAGAACAACCCCAUAGCCGGAAAGGAUAUGGCCCGACAUGCUCUUCAAUGCUUUGAAAGAGGUGCUGCUACUUGGUGGAGGAUGUACCAAACCAUGAACGGAUGGCAAGGAGUAACUACUUGGAAGGAAUUUAAGUUGACUUUGCCAAAGUCUCGGUUUGUGUCCCAAAAGUUGAAGCCUUAUGGAAAGGAUAUGGAGAAACCUUGUGCAUGCAAGAUUUGUGGAGAAAUAGGACACACCCAUAAAGAACACAAGGAUGAAUGCCCUAGCUGUGAAGGAAGUCACCCAGCUGAAGAAUGCCCAACAAGGCAGAUCACUUGUUUCUUGUGUGAAGGGACUACCCACUACCCUGCUCAGUGUCACAUUUACCCCAGGGUACAACGAACCGUCCAGCAGAAGAAAAAGUAAUGAAAGGAGCCCUCAUGGAAAUUUUAGAAAAAGCUGUGAUGGAGGACACACCCAAAGAAGAACUAAGUAAACCCUGCACCAAGUCUUGCUAUUCAUGUGGAGAAGAAGGACACAUCUCCCAAAAUUGUUUGAAUGGGGAUCUAGUAGAAUUCCCGACAAAUGAAGUAGAAUAUGACCCACAGGAAAUAGAAGCCAUGAUUGGCAUGGAAAGGUCCAGGAAGAGAAGCAGAUUGGAUUCCAGGAAGAACCUGAGUCGUAUCACCUGUUACAGGUGCAAGGAGUCAGGACACUACCUCAACAGUUGCCCCAAAAGGAAACCUCGAUACUUGUCAGAAGUAAUAUGUUUUAGUUGUAAUGGAGCAGGGCACUUUGCCAGAGAAUGCCCCAAGGAGAAGGAAACUUGUGCUAGAUAGUUGAGUUUGCAACAAAAGAAAUGGAGUAGUAGAAGUGAGAACAUUUUCUUUUAUAUUAAGGUGUUGAGUUGAGACUUGUAAUGGAAAAGCAAGAGAUUGUAAUCAUUGGAGAAUGAAUAAAGUAGCAACGUUGGUACUGAUAUGGAUUUUAUGAGUUUUUACUCUAUGAAGAAGGAUUUUGACCAUUUUUUUAGGAUAUGAGAAAUAUGGUCUAUGGAAGAUUUGUGCAUUUUAAGUGUGGUAGUACCCUGUAAGAACCGUUGACCCCUGGAAAAGAUAAGGAUACUCCACUGAGUGGAUUUCGAACAAAAUGCAUACGAGUUUUGUCACGAUAUGUGUGAUACCCCAAGAGUAUGUGGGAUGAAGUUGGAGACCGACAAUUGUUUGGACCAAAGGUGAUCAAAGGAGUCAGAAGAGAAUGUUAAGUUGAUUCGAGAUAGACUGAAGGUAGCUCAGUCUAGGCAGAAGAGUUAUGUAGACUCAAAAACUCAAGGAGGUAGUCUAUGAAAUUGGAGACCGAGCAUGUCUUCAUGUGUUCCCUCUGCGAGGAGUUAAACAAAUUGGAGUUAAGGUAAAGUUAGCCCCGAGAUUUGUAGGACCAUACCGAGUUUUGGAGCAUAUGAGAGAAGUGGCCUACAAGUUUGAGUUACCGGAAGGACUGUCAGGAGUUCAAGAUGUGUUUCACGUUUCCCAGUUGAAGAAGUGCCAUGCAGAGAUGGCCAAUAUUCCCCUGUAAGGACGCUUGACCGCAGAAAGGAUAAUGAUGUUCCACGAAGUGGAAUAUGGACUUCAUAAGUAUAAGUUUUUAUCUCCGUAUGAGGGAUAUCCCACGAGGAUGAAGAGAUAAAUUACUAUUGGAUAUAAAGGAGGUAUGAUGUUGGUAAUAUGGAGCAAUGGCAACCCCAUGACAAGUCUGAUUACUCACGUCCUAGUUUGGUGCCAAUAGAAGGAAGGAAGACAGUAAAAUUGGAUGGAUUUAAGAAUACUAGGAAGUUGGGAGAUGGAAUAAUGAUAAGUUGCCCAAUGAUAAAUUCAAGGAUUACAAGUGACAAGAUGGGCCAUAACCCACAGGCCCCAGGACCUACCAAGAAGCAAGCACAUUCUUGCUAAAGGAAGAACCCUGGAAGUGGAUGUACCUUUGUCGACAGACGAUUUUAUAGGAGUUUACGCAAAACCUGAGAGUUGUGAAGGAACGAUAGAUGUUGUCUAGCUUGCAGAAUCAAUGGAUUAUUCCGAACUUGGUUCGUCGACGAGAGAAAUUCUGCAAUGCUUGUGAGGAUGACCGAGUGUUACAAUGCGAGAUUCGCUAAACCAUAUACUAGGUAAUGAUUUGGGUGCGGGAUGGAUUGAUCACCAUACGGACUUACUCUUAUUAUUCGCCUUGCUAUAUGGGAUGGUAAAUAUGAGUGACUUACCUAUAGUAGAGAGACGACGAUCAAAACCUUGUUUAAACCUUAGAAUGGUAUAAGUAUUUUUUCCCUUGUACACGGCAGCUUGCCAAUUGUAGGUUAUACGGUAAGGAUCAACCUAGACCCAUUUCCUGCAGGAGAAACCAUAAAUUGUUGACCACCAUGAGAUAUCGAUGGUUAUUUAGUCUUGGCGCCAGACCGUCAGCUAAGAAGACCCAGUUUCGGAAUAACCUUACCAAGAGGAAAGGAUAGAAGAAUUGAGGAAAAGGUUAUGCCACUACCGGAAGAGCUCAGAGAAGGAAUUUUCUCGAGGAUCUGAGAAGACCGACACUGUCGAGAAUAAGGAUGGAGUAUAUGAGUUUUGAUGGAACAGUAACCAUGCUUCUAAGGGUGGUAGCACCCCAGACCCCUGGGAUGAUCGAUGGAUUUUGAGGAGACCCCCAAACCCUAACCUUUUUCUUGCUAGCCUCUCCGAAUCUCGAGGACGAAAUUCAUUUUAAGGGUGGUAGGUUUGUAACAUCCCAAAAUUCUAAAUUUUGGAAUGUUAUAAUAAAUAGAUAGAUUUGACUGAUUGUUUGAUUGAUUGUCUGAAAGUGAGUGAAUUCGAAACUUUUGAAAGUUAAAUGAGAGGGAAUAAAAGGACUUUCCCAAACUUUCAUAUUUGCUUUAUGAUCUCCAUGAAUUCAAAUUCUUUUCAAACACAAAACCCCGGAGAGAAGAUGACAUGACUUCUUCCAUUUAUUUAAAUGACAAGGGGUGUUGAAAAUAUUUGAAUUUCAUUUGAAAAUAUUUCCGAUUCUGGAACUUUAUGCAACUCAAUGAUUUUCACGAGAGGAGAUAAAAUGACUUCUUCAAAUUAUAUGAAAUAUGAGUUGGGAGUUUCAAAGAAUUAAAUUCAAAGUUCUUUUGAAUUGAUUUUCAAUUUGGAGUUAUUUGAGUUUUAUUCAAAUUAUUUAUCUCCAAAAAUAAAAUACAUGGAAAUUAGGGUAACAUGAUUCCCUACAAUAGAAAAUUGGAGAAAAAUUUAUUUGAAAUCAUUUUUGUAUUUUUAAAAUGUUUUUGUUGGAUUCUCUUAGAACAGUAGCACUCUUUGAAUUAUCUGAUUUUGUGUGUAUUUUAUUUAAUGGUAGAAAAAAGUUCAUGUUGUAGAUUUUCUUUUUCUGAAAAUUUUGAUAUAUUAUAUGCCUAUAUAAUAUUUUUAUUUAUUUUGUUUUUAGUAUUUUAGUUCUCUGAAAAAAACUGUUUAAAAAAAAUCUUCUCCCCGACUGGACCGGCCCAGCCCAGUCCAGCGCCAGCCCAGCUCAGCAGCGGCCUCCGCGCGCCCGAACCGCCUUCGCCUCGCCCGCCCUCUCUCUCCUCUGCGCGCACGCUGCCACGCCCAGCCACCGACAGGUGGGACCCACCUGUCGGGUUCGUCACCGACCUCCCGCCGGAGUCCAGCACGCGCACGAUUCGCCGGCCGACGCCGUGCUCAACCCGGGCGCCUCCCCCGUCUUCUCCCCUCGCCCAAGGCGACCCCCUUUAUAAGCCGAGGCCCUGGCCUCGUUUUGCCUCAAACCGCAGCUCUCCACGCCCCGCGCGAACUCGCCGGAGUUCGCGAGAUCCGCGCCAAGCCCGCGCCGUUCCGACUCCGAGGCCGAGCGCCCACACCGCCACCGCCUUCCCCUCGUCAAGCCGCGCCUCUCCAUCUUCUCCACCGGGGCCGCCGAGCCCCAGAGCCGCCGUCACGUUCGAGCCGCCGCCGCCGCCGCUUUCUUCUCUGACGCCGACGACGUGACCGUCGCGGUAAAGCCCCCUGUCACCUCAACCGUCCCAUCUUAGAGCUACGGUUAGGAUUAGAUAUGUCUGUUUUUUUUUAUCCGGUAUGCGCUAAAUAGCGAACAUCCGCCGUUUUAGCCUCGCAGCGAACAGAUUUCGGCCAGUAGAUUUCUGACACGUAUCCAGGGACCUAGUUGCAAUUUCUUUAUCUGCAGUUUAGUCCCUGAUUUUCAAAACACCACAUCUUUUUACCCGUUUAUCCAAAUCCAACGAAACCAAUGCCCACAUCUUCGUUAUGAUCUCCUCUAUCCAUUAAUCCAAAUCAAACAAGUUUUUGAAAAUUUUAAAAUUUGAAUUAGAUCAGAUUUGAAUUCAAACUUCGUUUGAUCAUAACUUGAGUUUCGUAGCUCCGUUUGAGUUGAUUCUUUUUGCAAAUCGAAGCUCUUGGCCUAAACAUUCUAAUAAGGCCAAAUUCACAUAAUUUUGGUACUGUUAGAAAUUGUUUUAUGUUGCAAGAGUUAUUUGCUUGGUUUUGAUGUUGUCCGAAUCGUCUUCUUCGUUCUUUCUGAUCUUUUGAGUGAUUGCUUAUGUGUGGUUACUAUUGCUUGCUUACGAUAGAUUGACCGGAGUGUGACGAGUAGAUCUAUCAAGAUUUUGUGUGCGAAUCAUCUUCAUCAACAUUGCAGGCAAGUUCACACUUUGAUCAUUCCUUUUCUACUACCCAGUUUUAUUGAAUUAGAUCAAUCCUCACACAUUGCAUGAUUAGAAUCUAAUUAAAUUGUGGGAUGGGAAGUAGAUGAGGUAGUACCUAUUACCUGUAUUAUUAUGAAACCUUUGGGAGUUACUUCUACAUUUGCUUAUUAUGCCAUGCUAUGAUAGUAGAUGUGGAUUGGGUGAGUGAUAUCCAUGACAUAUGUGAGUAUUGUUAAUUAAUGGUUUAUCUAAGGUGGCAACUUAAACAUACAUCUGGGUGGAUUGAGGCACCUGAUGUCUAUCAGGACUUGCCUGUUUUUUUUCGGACUACCACCCAGGCUCAAAGGGAUAAUAAGAUAAUUCAUGCUAGAAACUUCCGUGUGCAGCCACAUGCUACUAUGGGCUCUGGCAUAGUUGACUAAGUUGUGCGAACUCUUACGGGGUGGACUAGCAGAUGUAGGGGUUAUAGGUGGUACGGUCUACCCCACAUGUAAGGUGCUAGCGCUUCUGAAAGACUAUGUCUCGGUCAUCCGUUUCUCAAACACCAUGUAGUGCGAGAAAACAAACGGAGGCGAUCGAGUCAUGUGGGGAAAAGUGCGCAAACCUCUGCAGAGUGUACAAACUAAUCAUGAUUAGCCGUGUCCCCGGUUAUGGACAUCUUGAGUAUCUAGUUCUUGGAUUAUCCUGUUGAUCUCAUCACGUUACUUUAAAUGAAUAUUGUUGGGUUUAAUGAUGUUACUUAAUUGGGAUUGAGAAUGUUGUCAACCAUUCUUGAUGUUCAACAACCACCAUGAUAGUUAAAUAAAUUUAUUCCUUUGUAGUAGGGAAAAAUUGGCUUUACGCAAAACCCUUAUAACCAUAGAGCUUUUCCACCAGCCAAAUAUGCAUGUAGUGAUAGCCUUUAUUCAUCAUUCUCUAUGGUGUGAAUUUGCCAGUACAUUCAAUGUACUGACCCUCUGUGGCUGCAACGUCUCAUGUUCCAGGAUUAUCUUACGAUGAGUAAGUGAUACGUUAGGGUUACGAUUUCUACACUCAACUUUGCCGUUGGUGUUGAUGGGAAUCCACAACCUUGUUGCUUCCGCUAUUAUGGAUUGAGGUAAUAGUACUUACGCUACUUUAUACAUGUGAUUUACCUCUGUUAUAAAUCCUUCGAGUACUGUGUGUGUCAGCAUACCAAUCCAGGGAUGAAACUUAAGCACAGAGACUUGAUCCAUUCGGGUCGGGUCGCUACAAUGGGUUUACUCAAGUUAUACCAAGGGCAGUAAACCAUACAGUGUUCCUUUGUUUGUACUUGCUAGUAUUAAAUUUAUGCUCCUCGGGAAGUGCUGGAACUAGAUAUACCAAGUACCAACCAGACAUGGCUAAAGUAUAACUGAUCAGGCUUGCACUACCCUUAGUGAUGCAAACCUAUAGUGGUUCUUUUAUAGUUCCUUAAUCUACUGACUGAUUUCUAGUAAAGCUAAUAUACACAUUUGCUGGCUCUGUUAAGGGCUAUUUUAUCAGAAUGGUGGGUGUGUACUUUCGUAAUCUGGUGGUUCUAACAUUUGUUAUCAGCUCUGUCAUAUACUAAUAUCAUCACUUUAAUUCCUGGGUUUCACAUUAGAAGAUAAUCAUGGUUUUGUGUAUCACCAUAUUAUAUCUGUAGCGACCCGACCCGAAUGGAUCAAGUCUACUGUGCUCCGGUGUCAUCCCUGGAUCAGUAAUGCUGACACCACACAGUACUUCGAAGGAUUUAUAGCAGAGUUGCAAUCACACACUUAUUACAUCGAUGUCUCAAAGAGAACUUAUUACAAUAAAUAUGGCUUAAGGCCAUCUAAUAACGAUAACAGCGGAAGACUCGGAAGAUACAUGGGUCCAUUAACUCCAACGGCAUCACUGAGUAUAGAACCACGACCUAAAAGCACCUUACUCGUCGUCUGAAAAGUCUGCAACAUGAAAGUUGCAGCCCGAAAACGGGUCAGCACAUGGAAUAUGCUGGCAACGUAACACAUAGAGAGUAAUGGAAUGAAACAGCUAUACUAUAUGCAUAUAUGGCUGGUGGAAAGCUCUAUGGUUACAGUUUUGCGUAAAGCCAGUUUUUCCCUACUGCAAAGGAAUAAAUUUAUUUAACUAUCAUGGUAGUUGUUAAACAUCGAGAAUGGUUGAAAGCAUUCCGAUCCCAAUUAAGUGAACAAUUAAAACCCAACAACAUUAAUUAGAAGUAUCGUGAUGAGAUUCACAUGAUAUUCAAGUACUAGAUACUCAAGUUGUCCAUAACCGGGGACACGGCUAAUCAUGAUUAGUUUGUUACACUCUGCAGAGGUUUGCGCAAUUUUCCCCACAAGACUCGAUCGCCUCCAUUUGGUUUCUCGCACUACAUGGUGUUUGAGAAGACGGAUGACCGAGACAGAGUCUUUCAGAAGCGCUAGCACCUUACGAUGGAUAGACCGGUACACCUACUUUCCCCUACAUCUGCUAGUCUACCCUGUAAGAGUUCGCACGACUUAGUCAACUAUGCCAGAGCCCAUAAUGGCUUGUGGCUGCACACGGAAGUUACUAGCAUGAAUGAUCUUAUGAUCCCCUUGAGCCUGGGUGGCGGUCCGAAAUAAAAAUAGGCAAGUCCUGAUAGAGAUCAGGUGCCUCAAUCCACCCAGAUGUGUGUUUAAGUUGCCACCUUAGGUAAACCAUUAAAUUAUCAAUCUCACAUCUGUCAUGGAUAUCACUCACCCAAUCGACGUCUACUAGCAUAGCAUGGCAUAAUAAGCAAGCAUAGAAGCAACUCCCAAAGGUUUCAUAAUAAUACAGGUAAUAGGUACUACCUCAUCUACUUCCCAUCCCACAAUUUAAUUAGAUACUAAUCAUGCAAUGUGAGAGGAUUGAUCUAAUGCAAUAAAACAUGGGUUGUAGAAAAGGUAUGAUCAAAGUGUUACUUGCCUUGCUGAGAAUCCGCGAGUCCUAGGGUUUCGAAGUAACAAGCGGCGCAAUCCGGGUGAUCUAUCGCAGACAAACAACAAGCACACAAUAAGUACUCAUCUAAUGCACAGGAAAAACUCGAACAAAAGAAUGAACCAGAAAGUUCAACUUAAGAACUCCGGUUGCAAAGAAAGAACGAACCGAACAAAGAAACGGAAAACAAACGGCAGAAGAAAACAACUCGGUUCUAGCAGGUUGAAACUAGGUCAAAUUUAUUGUGGCAAAAACCUGUUCAAGUUGAUUAGUCGGAACGACGGUUUCGAAACGAAACUCCAGGUGCUUGAAUCACCUGAUUUUGAUAAACGAGCGAGAAGAAAGACUAGAACGAAGAUCGGAUCUGAGAUCACGAUCGCGGAAUAAAUCCGACGAAAAGAAAGAGACGAACGGUUAAACGAACGGACGUUCGUUAACCGGGAAUAAUCGGUGAUCACGUUUGUUGAGACGAACGGUCCGAAAGAAGAACGAAAACCGAUCUAGGGUUUUCGGAAAAGAAACCGAAAAGAAAAACCGGAAAGAAAACGGAAAAGAAAUGGAACGGUUCUUUUAAGAAAAACCGAACCGGGGAAAGAAAAAGAGGCGCGGCGCGGGGCUACCUCCGGCGAGGCUCCGGCGAGGGGCUCCGGCGGCGGCGGCNNNNNNNNNNNNNNNNNNNNNNNNNNNNNNNNNNNNNNNNNNNNNNNNNNNNNNNNNNNNNNNNNNNNNNNNNNNNNNNNNNNNNNNNNNNNNNNNNNNNNNNNNNNNNNNNNNNNNNNNNNNNNNNNNNNNNNNNNNNNNNNNNNNNNNNNNNNNNNNNNNNNNNNNNNNNNNNNNNNNNNNNNNNNNNNNNNNNNNNNNNNNNNNNNNNNNNNNNNNNNNNNNNNNNNNNNNNNNNNNNNNNNNNNNNNNNNNNNNNNNNNNNNNNNNNNNNNNNNNNNNNNNNNNNNNNNNNNNNNNNNNNNNNNNNNNNNNNNNNNNNNNNNNNNNNNNNNNNNNNNNNNNNNNNNNNNNNNNNNNNNNNNGUUAGAGUCCUACUAGGACUCGGCCUAGGGGCGGUGCAAGGCAGGCGGCGGGGCUGGCGGCUGCGCUUGGCGCACGGGGCGGCUGGGCCGGCCGGCUGGGCCCUUGGCCCAGGCGGGCGUUGCGGUCUCCUUUUUUUUAAACGGUUACGCGCGCAGAAAAACAAAAGAAAAGAAAACUAAAUGAACUCCGAAAAAAUCUAAAGUAAAUUUUCCCCGACUCCUAAAAAUGAGUCGAACAAAAUGAACUUUUCUCCGGGCCUAAAAUGCAAUUUUUGAAAACGCGCAUUUUUCCCUAUCCUAAUAAAAAGCAAACAAAACUCCGGCAAAACCAAAAUUUGAUUUAUUCAUUAGAUCUUCAUUUUUCCUAACUUUGGGAAAGUCAUAUUAUUCCCUCUCUCAUUUUUUUUAUAUUGGAAAAAUAAUUGAAGAUGAAAUAAAUAAAUCAAAUGAUCCUCUUUUCAAAUUUGAGAAAACUCUCAAAUAUGAAAAUAACGAAAUCUCCAACUCUCUCUGAAGGUCCUUGAGUUGCGUGAAAUUUCUAGGAUCGACCAAAAUGCAAGAAAAUAUGCUAUGCAUGAUGAUCUAGUGUAUAAAAUUCCAAAUUGCAAAUUUGGGAUGUUACAAACCUACCCCCUUAAAAUGAAUCUCGCCCUCGAGAUUCGGGUUGGCUAGAAAAUAGGUGAGGGUGGUCCUUGAACAAAUCUUCUUCUCUUUCCCAGGUGGCUUCAUCCUCUGAGUGGUGGUUCCACUGAACUUUGCAAAACUUGAUAACCUUGCUGCGGUAACUCUGCUGGCAUAAUCGAGAAUCUUGACUGGCUUCUCCUCAUAUGUUAAGUCAUCCUCCAACUGAAUUGCUUCAAGCGGUACUGUAUCUCUUAGCGGUACCUCCGCCAUCUCGGCGUGACAUUUCUUCAGCUGAGAAACAUGGAAUACAUCAUGAACUCCUGACAGUCCCUCUGGUAAUUCCAACUUAUAAGCGACUUCUCCCAUACGUUGCAAGAUCUUAUACGGUCCAACGAAACGCGGUGCUAACUUUCCCUUAACUCCAAAGCGCUUAACUCCUCGAAGUGGGGAUACUCGGAGAUAAACUCUGUCUCCGGUUUCGUAGACUGUCUCCUUGCGUUUAGAAUCUGUGUAGCUCUUCUGCCUGGACUGGGCUACCUUGAGCCUAUCGCGAAUAAACUUAACUUUUCGUUCAGACUCCUUAAUCAAAUCUGGUCCAAAGAAUUGACGGUCUCCAACUUCGUCCCAUGACAACGGUGUCCUGCACCUCCUUCCGUAUAAAGCUUCGAAAGGUGCCAUCUUCAAACUGGUUUGGUAACUGUUGUUAUAAGAAAACUCCACAUACGGCAAGUUAUCGUCCCAACUAGAUCCAUAAUCUAGUGCACAAGCUCUCAGCAUAUCUUCCAAAAUCUGAUUGACUCUCUCAGUCUGUCCAUCCGUCUGUGGGUGAAAAGCUGUGCUGAACUCUAGUCUGGUUCCUAAAGUUUCAUGCAACUGAUUCCAAAACUUUGAGGUAAAUUGGGUUCCUCUAUUUGAUACGAUACUCCUCGGAACUCCAUGCAAACAAAUGAUCCUAGUCAUGUAUAUCUUCGCCAACUUAGCACUGGUGUAAGUGGUCUUAACUGGAAUAAAAUGUGCUACCUUCGUCAAACGAUCAACUACUACCCAUAUCGAGUCAUAGCCUGAUUUUUUCCUGGGUAGUCCUGUGAUAAAAUCCAUGCCUAUCUUAUCCCACUUCCAUUCGGGUAUCGGCAAUGGUUGUAACAAUCCUGCUGGCUUCUGAUGCUCUGCCUUUACUCUCUGACAUACGUCACAAACUGCUACAUAUGCUGCAAUAUCCUUCUUCAUUCUGGUCCACCAGAAUGUUUCCUUCAAAUCCAAAUACAUCUUGGUAUUCCCUGCGUGAAUCGAAUACGGUGAAUCAUGUGCCUCUUGCAAAAUUAAACUUCCUGAUCUCCGGGGCAUUUGGCACAUAAACACGGUCCUCAAACCAUAGGGUAUCAUGCUCAUCCUCACGAAAUCCCUUUGCUUUUCCUUCGCUCAAUUUCUCUUUUAUAGCAGCAAUCUCCUUGUCAGAUUUCUGAGCUUCUCUGAUUUUAUCCAUCAAUGUUGACUGAAUCUCCAAUGCUGCUACAUAGCCUCUCGGAACUAUUUCCAAACAUAGCUCACGAAGGUUUUCUGCUAACUCCUUGGGUAUUUUCCCCGUCAUUAGAGUAUUGACAUGGCUCUUACGGCUCAAUGCGUCAGCUACUACAUUAGCUUUUCCGGGAUGGUAAUGCAAUCUCAUGUCAUAAUCCUUGAUAAGCUCCAACCAUCUCCUUUGUCGGAGGUUCAACUCCUUCUGAGUGAAAAUGUACUUCAAACUCUUGUGAUCCGUGUACACCUCACAAUGAUUUCCAAUGAGGAAAUGUCUCCACGUCUUCAAUGGAUGCACUACGGCUGCUAACUCCAAAUCAUGCGUGGCAUAAUUCAACUCAUGAGGCUUCAGUUGUCGUGAAGCAUAAGAAACAACUCUUCCUUCCUGCAUAAGCACUUCUCCAAGUCCUCGACGUGAAGCGUCGCAAUACACCUCAUAAUCCUUGGUCUGAUCUGGCAAGAUCAAUACUGGUGAGGUAACCAAGCGUUUCUUCAACUCCUGGAAACUAGCCUCACACUCCUCAGUCCAUUUGAACUUAGUAUCCUUCUUCAACAAUUCAGUCAUAGGCUUUGUAAUCUUUGAAAAGUUCUCAAUUAAUCUCCGGUAGUAUCCUGCGAGUCCAAGAAAACUCCGGAGCUCUCCAACUGUUGUUGGUGCUUCCCAUUCGGUUACGGUCUCAACCUUUGUGGGGUCAACUGCUAUACCUUCUUCGGAUAUAACGUGUCCGAGGAAUCCAACUUCCUUCAACCAAAACUCACAUUUGCUGAAUUUGGCGUAUAACUGAUGUUCCCUUAGUUUCUCCAAAACCAAACACAAAUGUUCCUUAUGCUCCUCUACAUUCUUUGAAUAAACCAGGAUGUCAUCAAUGAACACUACGACGAACUUAUCCAAAAACUCCAUAAACACUUUGUUCAUCAGAUUCAUAAAAUAGGCAGGUGCGUUAGUCAAUCCAAAUGACAUAACGGUAUACUCAUACAGUCCAUAUCUUGUGGUGAAUGUUGUCUUAGGUAUGUCCUGCUCUCGAAUCUUCAAUUGAUGGUACCCUGAUCACAAAUCGAUCUUGGAAAACACUUUAGCUCCUUGCAAACGAUCAAACAGAUCAUUAAUCAUUGGCAGUGGGUACUUAUUCUUGAUGGUUACUUCAUUCAAUCCUCGAUAAUGAACAACCAUCCUUAAUGAUCCAUCCUUCUUUUCCACUAGAAGUACGGGUGAUCCCCAAGGCGAAGAACUUGGGCGAAUGUAACCUUUAUCCAAUAACUCCUUAAUCUGAUUCUUAAUUUCCACCAAAUCCUUUGCUGGCAUCCGGUACGGUCGCUUCGAUAUUGGGCCUGUACCUGGCAAUAACUCAAUCAAAAACUCAAUGUCUCUAUCCGGUGGCAUGCCUGGAAAUUCCUCAGGAAAUACAUCAGGAAAAUCCUUCACCACUGGUACUUCCUCUUGCACAACUCCUGUUAGGCAGUUUACUUGUGUCCUGUUUGGCACAUGCCGGGAUACAUACUUGAUCCUUCUUCCUUCUGGUGUGGUAAGCAAAAUUGUCUUACUGGCGCAAUUGAUGUUUCCUCCAUACAUCGACAGCCAAUCCAUACCAAGAAUCACAUCCAGACCUUGGGACUCCAGAAUAAUCAAAUCCGUUGGGAAAACAUGCCUUCCUAUACUUAAUGGCACUUGGAAACAUCCUUGUCUGGACAUGUACUCUGCUCCUGGCGAGAUUACUAGCAUAGGCGUUUUAAGAAUCCUAGUGGGCAGGCUAUACUUUUCCACAAAUCCCCUUGACAUGUAUGAAUGCGAUGCACCAGUAUCAAAAAGAAUGAGUGUGGUAAAUGUCUUAACCAAAAACUUACCGAUUACUGCAUCAGGCUGAUCUUCAACCUCCUCCACAUUAACGUGGUUCACCUGUCCCCUAUUAAAAGGGUUCGGCUUCUUCCCAGAGCUUCCAUUGCCAUUUCCAUUCUGGCCUUCGGGAUUCAUUGGCAUAAUGUCCGGUCUUGGAACACUUGAAACAAGUGACUUGACUCAGAUCUCUCUUGGUUGGGGUCGAUGGGGUGGUACGGUUCUGGCCGUUGCUUCCUCCAUUCCCAUUACCAUUCUUGUGGCCAUUAUGGUUGUGCGAACUACCUCCUCCAUGGGUAUGCUGAAACUGAAAUCCCGGUUUAGGGGUAAAACGGGGCUUUUGCUGGGCUCCAGAGUUAUACUUCCCCUGUCCAUACUUCCUCUUACGGUUCUCAAUCUGCUGUUGCUUUCCUUCAAUCAUGAUGGCACGAUCUACCAACUCCUGGUAGUUGUUGAAACUUGCUACCAUCAAUUGCAUGCUUAGUUCAUCAUUCAGUCCUUCCAGAAACUUCUCCUGCUUAGCUGCAUCCGUAGCAACGUCAUCUGGGGCAUAACGUGCUAACUUGCUGAAGUCGUCAACGUACUGGCCAACUGUCCUUCCUCCUUGGCGUAAGUUGCGAAACUCAUGCUUCUUCAUGGCCAUAGCUCCUGCUGAAACAUGGGCAGUGCGGAAAGCUUGCUGAAACUGAUCCCAUGUGACAGUGUCAACUGGGUAAGUGGCUGUGAAAUUCUCCCACCAUGCUGCCGCGGGUCCGUCAAGCUGAUGUGCGUCAAACUUCACUUUCUCACCAUCUGUGCAUCCUGCAGUGGUCAACUCCCUUCCUAUCUUGCGGAGCCAAUCGUCUGCUACUAUUGGCUCGGUGCUACUGGAAAACACCGGCGGAUUCAGCCUAAGGAAACGGGCUAAGUGGUCAACAGGUGGUGGUGGUGGUGGUGGUGGUGGGUUGUUGUUGUUGUUCUGCUGGUUCUGGACUAACAUCUGCAUCAAUUGAUUCUGCUGCUGGAUCAACUGAGUGAGCUCCGGUGGGAAUCCAUUGUCACGUCUCGGAGGCAUCUAAGGGUUUAGAAGAGACGAGAUUUAGGAAUAGAGUGAGGUCUAAAGAGAAAAACACUACCCCAAUGAACAUGAGCAAAUGCACACAAAAUCACUUCAUUCAAUCAAACAAGGGCUUACAAACGGUCUAACUAUCGCAAAAGUGCUCGAACUAUUGUGUUUACAUGGGGGAAUACUACUACUAUCUGGUGGUCAUCUAGAAAUUUGAACCGGUGGAAGACUCCAUGAUAUCUGCUCCAGCUUCGUCUCCAAAGUCGGGUUCACUUGGAUCCGAAUCAGUGUCGUCGAUGAUGAUGUAGUUGUCCGGACAUGCGACGUACUCGUCUUCCUCCUUGGAUGCUAACUUCCUCUUGAGUUCUUCAAUCUCCUGCUUAAGAUUGCCAUUGUGUCUUGCUAGAGCUACGAUCUCGUCCAUGUAGUCCUUGCGUGUAGACUUCAGUUCUCCUUCUAGCUCGAUGAUCCUUGCCUUUGCAUUCUUCAACUCUAUCAUAUCAUUGCACAUCUGGUUCUCGUGGCGUCGAAUGUGCUGGUUUAACUCCUGGAUGAAAGAUGCAAUGGAUCUAUCCUUCUUGGUGCUGACUAACUCCCAUUGUUCGUCUCGGCGUCCGCAAAUCUGGUAGAUAGUGAUCUUGAGGUCUUCUUGAUAAACUUCUCCAAUGCGUCCCAUGGUGAUAUGAGCUGCCAUGCUCCUUCCCAGACUCCAGGUUGGUGCAUUGAAAACACUAUCUAUGGGCUUCGUGAUUGGUGCGAAUGUCCUUCCCGGAACAUGAGCUUGAAUCUUCCAGCGCUCCUCUUCAGGCAGAGUGGCGUUGAAGGUUCCCGUGAAGCUUGGUAAUCCAAUGUUCAGGUACUUGGUGACUUCCUUCAAGUGAAAUCCAAAAGGUGUGCCUUCAUCCGGUUGAGCGUACUUAAUCUUCGCGUUCGUCAUCCUAAAAGGGUAGAAAAGAUGAGGAGUUAGAAAAUGAGAAGAGAAUGGUGAUCUAUGGCUUUAACUUAGUGGUCGUGUCCUACAGUCAGCGUGUGCUCUGAUACCAUCUCUGUAGCGACCCGACCCGAAUGGAUAAAGUCUAUUGUGCUCCGGUGUCAUCCCUGGAUCAGUAAUGCUGACACCACACAGUACUUUGAAGGAUUUAUAGCAGAGUUGCAAUCACACACUUAUUACAUCGAUGUCUUAAAGAGAACUUAUUACAAUAAAUAUGGCUUAAGACCAUCUAAUAACGAUAACAGCGGAAGACUCGGAAGAUAAAUGGGUCCAUUAACUCCAACGACAUCACUGAGUAUAGAACCACAACCUAAAAGCACCUUACUCGUCGUCUGAAAAGUCUGCAACAUGAAAGUUGCAGCCCGAAAACGGGUCAGCACAUGGAAUAUGCUGGCAAUGUAACACAUAGAGAGUAAUGGAAUGAAACAGCUAUACUAUAUGCAUAUAUGGCUGGUGGAAAGCUCUAUGGUUACAGUUUUGCGUAAAGCCAGUUUUUCCCUACUGCAAAGGAAUAAAUUUAUUUAACUAUCAUGGUAGUUGUUAAACAUCGAGAAUGGUUGACAGCAUUCCGAUCCCAAUUAAGUGAACAAUUAAAACCCAACAACAUUAAUUAGAAGUAUCGUGAUGAGAUUCACAUGAUAUUCAAGUACUAGAUACUCAAGUUGUCCAUAACCGGGGACACGGCUAAUCAUGAUUAGUUUGUUACACUCUGCAGAGGUUUGCGCACUUUUCCCCACAAGACUCGAUCGCCUCCAUUUGAUUUCUCGCACUACAUGGUGUUUGAGAAGACGGAUGACCGAGACAAAGUCUUUCAGAAGCGCUAGCACCUUACGAUGGAUAGACCGGUACACCUACUUUCCGUACAUCUGCUAGUCUACCCUGUAAGAGUUCGCACGACUUAGUCAACUAUGCCAGAGCCCAUAAUGGCUUGUGGCUGCACACGGAAGUUACUAGCAUGAAUGAUCUUAUGAUCCCUUUGAGCCUGGGUGGCGGUCCGAAAUAAAAACAGGCAAGUCCUGAUAGACAUCAGGUGCCUCAAUCCACCCAGAUGUGUGUUUAAGUUGCCACCUUAGGUAAACCAUUAAAUUAUCAAUCUCACAUCUGUCAUGGAUAUCACUCACCAAAUCCACGUCUACUAGCAUAGCAUGGCAUAAUAAGCAAGCAUAGAAGCAACUCCCAAAGGUUUCAUAAUAAUACAGGUAAUAGGUACUACCUCAUCUACUUCCCAUCCCACAAUUUAAUUAGAUCCUAAUCAUGCAAUAUGAGAGGAUUGAUCUAAUGCAAUAAAACAUGGGUUGUAGAAAAGGUAUGAUCAAAGUGUUACUUGCCUUGCUGAGAAUCCGCGAGUCCUAGGGUUUCGAAGUAACAAGGGGCGCAAUCCGGGUGAUCUAUCGCAGACAAACAACAAGCACACAAUAAGUACUCAUCUAAUGCACAGGAAAAACUCGAACAAGAGAAUGAACCAGAAAGUUCAACUUAAGAACUCCGGUUGCAAAGAAAGAACGAACCGAACAAAGAAACGGAAAACAAACGGCGGAAGAAAACAACUCGGUUCUAGCAGGUUGAAACUAGGUCAAAUUUUAUUGUGGCAAAAACUUGUUCAAGUUGAUUAGUCGGAACGGCGGUUUCGAAACGAAACUCCAAGCGCUUGAAUCACCUGAUUCCGAUAAACGAGCGAGAAGAAAGACUAGAACGAAGAUCGGAUCUGAGAUCACGAUCGCGGAAUAAAUCCGACGAAAAGAAAGAAACGAACGGUUAAACGAACGGACAUUCGUUAACCGAGAAUAAUCGGUGAUCACAUUCAUUGAGACGAAUGGUCCGAAAGAAGAACGAAAACCGAUCUAGGGUUUUCGGAAAAGAAACCGAAAAGAAAAACCGGAAAGAAAACGGAAAAGAAACGGAAUGGUUCUUUUAAGAAAAACCGAACCGAGGAAAGAAAAAGAGGCGCAGCGCGGGGCUACCUCCGGCGAGGCUCCGGCGAGGGGCUCCGGCGGUGGCGGCACGGCUAAGGCGGCUAUAGGCGGCGGCGGCGGCUAUAGGCGGCGGUGGCUUGGGGCUUGGGGUGGUGUGGGGAGAGGGGGGGUUAUGGGGGUAUUUAUAUAGGUGGGGGUGUUUCUUGGGGGAGGGGGCAAGCAAUAGGAGGGGGGGUUAGAGUCCUACUAGGACUCGGCCUAGGGGCGGCGCAAGGCAGGUGGCGGGGCUGGCGGCUGCGCCUGGCGCACGGGGCGGCUGGGCCGGCUGGCUGGGCGCUUGGCCCAGGCGGGCGCUGCGGUCUCCUUUUUUUAAACGGUUACGCGCGCAGAAAACAAAAGAAAAGAAAACUAAACGAACUCCGAAAAAAAUCUAAAGUAAAUUUUCCCCGAGUCCUAAAAAUGAGUCGAACAAAAUGAACUUUUCUCCGGGCCUAAAAUUCAAUUUUUGAAAACGCGCAUUUUUCCCUAUCCAAAUAAAGAGCAAACAAAACUCCGGCAAAACCAAAAUUUGAUUUAUUCAUUAGAUCUUCAUUUUUCCUAACUUUGGGAAAGUCAUAUUAUUCCCUCUCUCAUUUUUUUUGAUAUUGGAAAAAUAAUUGAAGAUGAAAUAAAUAAAUCAAAUGAUCCUCUUUUCAAAUUUGAGAAAACUCUCAAAUAUGAAAAUAACGAAAUCUCCAACUCUCUCUGAAGGUCCUUGAGUUGCGUGAAAUUUCUAGGAUCGACCAACAUGCAAGAAAAUAUGCUAUGCAUGAUGAUCUAGUGUAUAACAUUCCAAAUUGCAAAUUUGGGAUGUUACAAUAUCUUCUUUACAUUUUGGCAUACAAUUUAUUAGGCUCUAUCAUCAUAAUCAUGGCCCACAAGAAAAAAGCAGAAUUAGAACCCCAGGCCAGUCAUGAUGUUUUUGUCUAUGGAGGUGUUGCGUAUUUGAUCAGAUUUCCUUACUUGCUUCAGGCAUAAGAAUAAGCUUAUAAGAAUAGAAUAUUGAUACUCUGCGAGCUAUGAGUAGAAUGCUCUAUCUUCGCGAGUCACCUUUCUUGUAUGAAUGAGUAUCUUGUUUUGACUAGCUGGAUAAUAAAAGCAUUGUACUAGUUGAAUUUAUGUUAUCAUUCUAAAUAACUUGUCUUUUUUGAGUGGUCUCUUUAUAAUAUAUUGGCUCCAGUUUUCUGAUUCUUCUUUGCUGAUUCAUGUAACAGGGUGACAGAGGUUGCAUGUUGUUCAUGAGAGGAUCAGGUGCCUAGUUUGUAAUGCUAUCAAAGGAGCUCCAUCAUGAAGAAUAUAUCACAGUUGGUAGAGUAGGGGCUCCAUCAUGUAGAGGUUGUAAAUUAUAGUAUUAGUUACUACAGUUUGUAGUUGGUAGUGCCCUGUGUGUUGGUAGUGCAGGAGGGCCAUUGUAUUGUGUGUUAUUUGUAGAGCAGGAGCUCCAGAUUCAGCCAUUGUAUUAUGUGUUAUUUGUAGAGUAGGAGCUCCAUCCCGAAUCUGGUUGUUAUUUGAAGUAUUAUUAUAUGUGUUUUCUAUUUGUGCCAAUUUAAAUAUUGCUUAUUUAUUUACUGCCAAAUUGAAAUAUGAAGAAUAUGACCCUGAC
rnacentral:lncRNA from 1 species